GCGCUGAUAGUGUAAUGGGUUAAUAUCCUGUCUGGAAAGUAGAGAGUGCGGGUCCAUGUCCCGCCUGGCGCG
rnacentral:tRNA from 1 species